CCUGAUUGCCUAAGGCUAUAACUCCUCUCAAUAUUGCCCCGUGUAAAACGUCGCAAUGAUUGCGGAAGACGUCGCACCAGCCGUGUUGAGCUCACAAGAAGAAUAACACCAACAAUGAUAAGUACCAUCCAAGUAAGAGUGAACGACGAGCUGCUGGUGCAGAAGGCAAUUGUUCACCCAGGGCAAGCAUACCAGCAAGUACACCAGUCACAAUUGAUGCCACAGCAGCACAUGUAGACACAACAAUCGCUCUCCCAUGUUUUAAACCCCGAGUCUGUUCACAGGGCAUGUUUACAUUUACAAUUUGCAGUGGAACUGAGCAAUUAAUGAAACAUGACAUCCAUCUCCAGAUAAGAAAUAACAACAAAU